UACAAAUUAUACGUAUGUGUAUAAAGAUUUAAACUUACAAUUGCAAUGUACUUCAAACUUACAAUCGUAUUAAUAUGAAUUCUCUUUCUCUUUCUGUGUACCGAGAAAAUUGAUGGUUACUAUUGUUUUCGCGAAGAAUUGAUUUAGGAUCAUUGCCGGUCUUUUGCCGAUCUUACUCGGCAUUCUCGGUUUUGCGUUACACGUACCCGUGGCGCGCGCGGUUAGAUAGUCAGCUCUACAAGCAUCAUUUAAUGCGAGAUGAGAGAGGAGAAGAAAGAGGGCCGUUUAGUGCCAAUGUCAAAACCAACGCAACACCGCCCACGUACUUAUGCGUGUAUUGCCGGCGAUAGAAUCCUUUCAUCUCGUCGUCGGAGAUGCGCAGUGGUGCUUUUCAGUCUAACCGCGAAGAAUGCACGCGAUUCUCGAACAGGUGCUGAAAAGCACCACUGUGCUCAACAGCGACUUGUCCGAGCGAACACACGCGAGCAAUUCCGUCGGAAUUGAUGAACUCGUUACGCUCAUAUCGCUCGCUUACAUCGUCGGAUUAAGCGAGCCGGCCGUAAAUUCGCGGCGUGUUAUUUAUGCGAUCGGAAGAGGAGAAGAGACGAGAAGAAAAUCCUUUCUUUCUCGCAGGGAGUCCCUGCGGCCGUUCUGGACCAUUCCUAAAGAGGUCCCGCGCCGCUCUCUCGCCAUCGUCCGGUAUCGUUUUAUUCCUGCCGUCCGUUAAUUGCAUUCGCGUUCGUUUCUAUUAUUUGCCGAAGAGAUAUCGCGCUUUUCAUGUUUUUUUCAAACUGAGCAACACAACAAGCUGGUUGAAUCUCUCUCGACGCGGUUAAUCUUACUUUGCACGCCGGUGGGUGCGCGCGAUUUUUUAAUUACAGUAGAGUAAAAGUAAUACCAAAACCAAAUCAACCAACAUAUACACGCGUAGGACACAUUUUAAGCUGCUCUCUAUUUGCUUGACAGCAAGAGAACGACUUACGUAUUAUAUCUCGAUCACUGAAGUCCGCAAUAAUCGCUGCGAAGCGCAAGGAUCUAAAAAAACAUGGUCGGCGUGAAUUAUCUUUCGUUGUGCGACAUCGCCCUUUUGCAAUCUCAUAUGCGCGCAUUCUUAUAUUACACGGGAUGUAUGCGUGCGCGGAACACGUCAGUAAAAAACGAGGUGCAUCUUCUCUCUCUCGGCGGAUGCGGUGUCCGGAAUGCGCGCGAGAUCGACGGCUCGCAACUCGGUACCAAUAAACAUUGAUUUAUCGGCUUGGAAAUCGAACUCGGGGUG